CGCCUGUUUAACAAAAACAUGUCUAUAUGAGUGAUAUAUAAAGUCUGGCCUGCCCACUGAUUUAGGUUAAAGGGCCGCGGUAUUUUGACCGUGCGAAGGUAGCAUAAUCAUUAGUCUUUUAAUUGAGGGCUUGAAUGAAUGGUUGGACAAAAAAUAAGCUGUCUCAGUUGUAGGUAUUGAAUUUAACUUUUAAGUGAAAAGGCUUAAAUAAGUUAGAGGGACGAUAAGACCCUAUAAAGCUUUACAAUUAUUAAAUUGAGCUGUAAACUGUUUGUUUAAC
rnacentral:rRNA from 1 species